GCAUAACGCGAAGAACCUUACCCAGGCUUGACAUCCUGCUAAUCACUCCGAAAGGAGAGAGUGCCUUCGGGCCGCAGUGACAGGUGUUGCAUGGCCGUCGUCAGCUCGUGUCGUGAGAUGUUUGGUUAAGUCCAUCAACGAGCGCAACCCUUAUAGUUAGUUGUAUUUUUCUAGCUAGACUGCCCUGGCAACAGGGAGGAAGGAGGGGAUGAUGUCAGGUCAGUAUUACCCUUACGCCUGGGGCUACAAACACGCUACAAUGGCCGGUACAAAGGGCAGCCAACCCGCGAGGGGGAGCAAAUCCCAUCAAAGCCGGUCUCAGUUCGGAUAGCAGGCUGAAACUCGCCUGCUUGAAGCUGGAAUCGCUAGUAAUGGUAGGUCAGCACACUACCGUGAAUACGUUCCCGGAUCUUGUACACACCG
rnacentral:rRNA from 1 species